rnacentral:rRNA from 1 species
UACAGAGGUCUCAAGCGUUGUUCGGAUUCAUUGGGCGUAAAGGGUGCGUAGGCGGCGCGGUAAGUCGGAUGUGAAAUCUCGGAGCUUAACUCCGAAACUGCAUUCGAUACUGCCGUGCUUGAGGACUGGAGAGGAGACUGGAAUUUACGGUGUAGCGGUGAAAUGCGUAGAUAUCGUAAGGAAGACCAGUGGCGAAGGCGGGUCUCUGGACAGUUCCUGACGCUGAGGCACGAAGGCCAGGGGGAGCAAACGGGG